GUCAGAAAAGAUAAUAGAUAGAAAAUAAACAACCAUUACACUUUAGCGUUUAACGAAAGAGAAACUAGGGCAUCCGCCGCGAGCAAAGCUUGCAUAACAGGGGGAGGAAAAAGAGUCCAAUUUGGGGACAGAUCCGAUCGGCCAUGAGCUUUGGCCGCCCAGUCUGCGACGAAAUUGGCUCUCCUGUCACAGUGCUGCAAACGGAGAUUCAAGAAAAGGGGCAAGAUUGACUGGAUUUCGUCAAAGAGCGGGCGAUCCUCCCAUGGUGGCGGCCGUCGGUCGUGAAGGAUUUCAACCAAUUGCAAACAGUCCGAUUCGAGAACGAUUGAUGCGGUGAGAAGUCCCUGUUGUUUGAGUCGAUGUAGAGUUAGGGUUAGCGCCUGUGUUUCCGCUUGGAAAGCCGAAUUUGCUCGAAAUCUGGCCGCGUAGACAUCAGUGAGUAAACAUCUGUGAUCUCGGCUAAUACAGGCCAUGGUGCCGUAUCUAUUCCCAGGGGAGAAGGAGCCGUCAAUAUUGCAUUUGAUGAAGCCCGGUUCUGGCGAUCGCCACCGGUAUUCUUUGGAAGCAAGAGGGGCAUAUGUACGUAGACCAACUCCUUGGGAAGCUGUUUGGGCAGAGAGGGUGACAAUCCGAUGCUGAGCCAAGGCAUCAAUAACAGCCAGAUUGGGGUUAGGAAGUAAGCCACGGAAAACACUGUUGUUGCGCAGCCGCCACAUCUGCCAUAAAACAUGGGUUAUCAUGGGUAGUCGAGGUAAGAGUUUCUGAUCUUUAAUUGAUUCUGCAAGCCAUUGAUCCAUGCGAGUGAUCAUAGUUGGGUGGAAGGGGAACUGCUGUUGAAAAUGUGACCAUACUCCCGCCGUCCACGGACAAUGGAAAAAAAUAUGUUCAACUGUUUCAGGCACAUUCUGAUUGCAUAUAGUGCACAUAGGGCUUGAGAUGAUAUGUCUGGUAUAUAAAUUGGACUUAGUAGCUAGGGCGUUGUGACAUGCCGACCAUAGAAAUAUGCGAAGUUUCGGUGUACUGUGCAUUUUCCAUAUGUAACGCCAUAGCUCAGGAGGUGGGUGGUAGGAAGUAGAUGCCAUAUUACCUUGCGAUAAAUUUGCUGGUGCUGUCAAGAUUCUGUAGUUACUCUUUACUGUAUACUGCCCUGUGGUUGUUGCUGUCCAAAUAAUCUGAUCAGUUGAGUGGAGAGGUCUUAAUGGAAUGUUGAGGAUUUCGUCGGCAAUAGAGUCGUCGAACAUUUGUGUAAUAAGGUGGGUCUUCCAAGUCUGGUGGAGAGGAUCAAUAAGAUCCGCCACCAACCGGGGCUCAUCUCUAUUGGCAGGUCCGCCAAGCUUACCUCUCGGUAACCAGCAGUGUUCCCUAAUGUUAAUUGAUUUUCCGUCCCCAACAGACCAUCUUGCAUUCGGUAAGAUGGCAUUCCGCCCAACUAGAAUACUUCGCCAGCCCCAGGAAGGGCGAGAACCAGGCUCUGCGAAUUCGAAAUCCUUUGAGGGAAAAUAUAAUCCUUUAAGGAUUCGGCCCCAAAGCGAUUGAGGUUGCUGUAGUAACCUCCAGGCCUGCUUGCCAAGCAUGGCAUUGUUAAAAACUACCAAAUCCCGAAAGCCUAACCCACCAGAAUUUUUGCCUGUCGUUAGCAAGUCCCAUUUCUUCCAAUGCACACCAUUCCUGUUCUUGUCAUUCCGCCACCAAAAAUUGGCAAUCCUCCGCUCAAUUGUUCGACAUAGAGAUAGGGGAAGCUUAAAGAUUGACAUGGCGUAUUGCGGCAUAGCUUGGAUGAUAGACUUGAGAAGGAUUUCCUUUCCGCCUUUUGAUAGCAACAUUUCUUUCCAACCCUCCAACUUUGCAUGUACUCUUCCUAAUAGCCAGCCAAAUAAUUCUUUUUUGGAACGACCCCAUUCUGAUGGAACUCCUAGGUACUUGCCAUAACCACUCAACACCGGUACACGCAAUUCAGCAGCCAAGUUAGUUUGAAGACUAGGUGGACAGCCUUUGCUAAAGUAGAGGCCAGACUUAUUGCGGUUUAUGACUUGUCCAGAAGCGUGACAAUAUUGGUUUAAGAUAUUGGCCAUAUUCUGACAUUCAAGGAUAGUACCAUUGAGGAAGAAAACAGAAUCAUCAGCAAAGAAUAAAUGUGAGAGUGUGGGGCAUGACCUGGUAAGUGUGAUUCCGCAAAGAUGUCCCAUCGUAAGAGCGUUCUGAAUGAGGGUGGAUAGAACAUUGGCCAUUAAAAUAAAGAGAUAUGGAGAAAGAGGGUCUCCUUGUCUGAGUCCUUUUGAUGGCUUGAAAUAGGGUAGAGAUUCCCCAUUAAAUUUAACACUCAUUGUCGUCGUGGUAAUACAGUACAUUACCAUCUGAACCCACCAAGGAUGAAAUCCCAGUUUGAGAAGGUAGGCUUGAAGGAAAUCCCAUUCAACUUUGUCGUAAGCCUUCUGCAUAUCAGUCUUAAGAAUAGCUUGGAAGUGUCUUUUCCGAUGCCUCGUUUUGAAAUGAUGGAGGACCUCGUGUACAACAAAGACAUUAUCUUGUAUUUGACGGCCAGAUACAAAAGCAGCUUGCUCAGGUGAUACCAGUUGUUCUAACAUAGGUUUGAGUCGGUUGGCCAUGACUUUAGAUAUAACCUUAUAUGCAAAGUUACACAAACUUAUCGGUCUAAACUGGUCAAGAAUUUCAGGAUGGUGUACUUUGGGAAUCAAAACAAUAAGAGUCUUAUUGAGGUCUGGAGGGAACUUACCAUAGUGAAAAAAGUCGUUGACCAGACAGAAUAAAUCAUGAUGGAUGGUAGGCCAAUGGGUUUGGUAGAACAAACCAUUAAAACCGUCGGGGCCCGGAGCUUUUGUAGCACCCAGUUGGAAAGUAGCUUGUCGUAGCUCUUCAAUCGUCACUUGGGCCAAUAAUUGUGCAUUCAUUGUGUCUGUUACAAGUGAUGAACAUUGAUCUAGGACGGGGCCAAAGUCACGGUGGCCUGCUGAUGUAUAAAGCUGAGUAAAAUAAACAGAAGUCAGCUCUUUUAAAUCUACUAUAUCCCUCACCCAUUCAUCGUCAGCCUUCCGAAGCAUUCGNNNNNNNNNNNNNNNNNNNNNNNNNNNNNNNNNNNNNNNNNNNNNNNNNNNNNNNNNNNNNNNNNNNNNNNNNNNNNNNNNNNNNNNNNNNNNNNNNNNNAUAGCCGUAAGGGCUUGGACUGUCAGGGGAUUGCCCAACCCCUGACAGUUCCAACAUAAAAGCUUCAUUUGUAACUUGGUGGCUGUUGAGGGCCAGCCACUAAAGCCCGAUGGAGUGCUUCAUCUGCUGCCAUUACCGGUGUUUCCUGGAGACGUGUCUCAUCUAGCUGAUCAAAUACAACACUGCCCUUAUCAUAGGGAGCGUAGCGUUUUUGUUUCUUUGCAUGUCCUGCUCUUGUAGUAGUACGGGUGUUUUUUGCUCUUCGAGAUUGCUGAAUAUCCGUUGGAAAGUCGCUAAGACUCUGUUCUAUGUCUAUUGCAGGAAUAUGACAGGAGGGGAUAGUGCUUACCUG
rnacentral:lncRNA from 1 species